rnacentral:rRNA from 1 species
CCAAUAGCGUAUAUUAAAGUUGUUGCAGUUAAAAAGCUCGUAGUUGAAUUUCGGGGUCAGUAGAUUGGUCGUGCCACUGGUACGUACUGGUCUUACAGAUUCCUCCCUCCUGAUGAACUGUAAUGCCAUUAAUUUGGUGUUGCAGGGAAUCUGGACUGUUACUUUGAAAAAAUUAGAGUGUUUAAAGCAGGCUAACGCUUGAAUACAUUAGCAUGGAAUAAUGAAAUAGGACGCUCGAUCCUAUUUUGUUGGUUUCUAGGAUUGACGUAAUGAUUAAUAGGGAUAGUUGGGGGCAUUAGUAUUCAAUUGUCAGAGGUGAAAUUCUUGGAUUUAUUGAAGACUAACUACUGCGAAAGCAUUUGCCAAGGAUGUUUUCAUUAAUCAAGAACGAAAGUUAGGGGAUCGAAGACGAUCAGAUACCGUCGUAGUCUUAACCAUAAACUAUGCCGACUAGGGAUCGGAUGAUGUUAAUUUUUUAAUGACUCGUUUGGCACCUUACG